AUCUGGAAACAGAAGCCGGGUUAGAAACACACACACACAUACACACAGUUGAGUUGAGUUUUCCCACCCCAGCAAUUGUUUCUUCUAAAUCAUCAGUAAGAAGGUGUCAUGUGACCUGACCAGACUUCCGUUAUUUAUCUUAUAAAAACCAUUAGAAUUGACUAAAAGUCCAGAGAAAAUUUCAAUAAUUAGACUUUGGGUUUCUGGGUUUUCUCCACUUCACGGAUUUGUGGCCAUUGUGCUUUUGUGAAGAACUACAACGUGUUUUUCUCUAAUUAAACCUUUCUAUACUUGUGUUUGGAUUAGGGUUGCAAACCGUCCCUUGAAAAACGGAAUCGUCCCGUAUUUAGAAACACAAGUGCACGUCCCGUAUUGAACUCAAAAGGGACGCACUUUGUCCCGUAAUAUAGUAUGGAUCAAAAUUAGUCUGUAGUCUAUUACCGGAAUUAACGCUUUGUUUGAAAGCCAGCCCUUCGCCUGCUCUGUGACCAAUGAACUGGCCGCAUGCUUACACACGAAUAUGACGAUACAGAUUACCGCUUAUUUCAUUGGUCGAGGAACGGUCGCUUGGGGAGAAGAUACCGGAAGAAAACAGACGACAGCAAACAGCACGGCCAACCGGGAAACUAACGCCGACACUGCUGUACAAGUCUCGGACGACAGUACCCCUCCGAGAAAGAAGAAAAAAGGCUUCAAAAAUACAGGGAGGAAUGGGAAAAGGAAAAUUCCUGGCUGGAAAAACUGCGCGAUAACACCUAUAAAGCGCACUGCACCGUGUACCGGCGCAGUUUUUCCAAAGGGCAUGGUGGACUCACUGACCUCAAGCAACAUGCGUCUAGUAGUAGCCACAUGAAAAACAUAAAGGACGUGAAAUUACGGGGAACCCUCGAUCAGUUUGUCGUCCACAAGGCCACGGCAGAAGCAGAUAUGGUUAAACAUCUCUAUGGAUGAGCUUUAUGACGAGUGUGUCACUGCAACCAGCCUUCUGGAGCCCCUCACCAAAGGACCUCAGGAGAAGGAAAAGUGGCAGUCCAAGGGAACAGCAGAGAAGUGUAUAGAAAUUCUUCAGGCAGCUGACCUCUCCAACAUCCAGCCUGUUGUAUCGUUUGUACUCAGCAUCCCGUCUUCCACUGGAUUGGCAGAGAGGAUUUUCUCUCUCAUGAAGAAUAAGUGGACUGAUGUGCGGAACAAAUGUUCUACUGAAAUAAUUAGAUGUGAGCUCAUUGUCACUCUAAAUUGUGACAUGUUUUGCUCAGAGUUUUACUCUGCAGUACUGAAAGACAACUCCUAAAUGCAGCAAGAUCUCAAAAGAAAUACAAAUGGAGAAAAUAGUCUGUUUUCACAUAAUGUAGCAUUGAGCUUUUGAGUUCAUGAGUUUGGACUUUUUUUUUUUUUUUACUUCCAACCGUAGGCUACAGUCAAGGCCUUUGAGGCACAAAUAUGUUUACAGCUUCUCCACAGACUUUCUGUUUGCACUUUUCUAAUUGCACUCAAUGUGCAGUUACAGCGUUGCUCUUUCUGUUGUUUUCUAUUAAUUUAUACAAUUUUAAGUUAAGCAGAACAGAGUUGUUUUAAAGAGAGUUAUUUAUAUUCUAAAAAGUAAAGCAUAACAGGCUACCGUUUAAGAAAGAGACCUACUUUUUUUUUGUCAUUUUGCACAAAAAGUUGAGCAUAACAGUUUUCUGUUUAAGAAAAAUACCUUUGUUACUUAUAAUAAUUUUGUAAUUUCACGCCAUAAAUAAAUGGCUAAAUGAUCA